CCUACGGGAGGCAGCAGUGGGGAAUAUUGCACAAUGGGGGAAACCCUGAUGCAGCAACGCCGCGUGAGCGAUGAAGGUCUUCGGAUUGUAAAGCUCUGUCUUUAGGGACGAUAAUGACGGUACCUAAGGAGGAAGCCACGGCUAACUACGUGCCAGCAGCCGCGGUAAUA
rnacentral:rRNA from 1 species